rnacentral:lncRNA from 1 species
AGCAACCCAAAGUUGACUGGGAGACGACGGCCUAGACCACUCACGAACUCAUCACAGCAUCCUCCAUGCGCCUCAUCCUGCGGUACCUGCUCUUGACCUGUGGGGGGGGUGUGAGACAGCAAGAGUGAGCUCACAUACGUUCAUCGCUCAACAAGUUGUGGGGAAUAAUGUGCAUGAACUCGCCAAAGGUGGGAGCUCACGUGAAGUGUAAGGCUUACCAAAGAGGAUGGUUAGAGCUGAGCAUUGCUUUUAAAGUUGGUCAAAAUUUUAUUAGCAAUUACUAAGUAUAAGUAAAUACCAGCCCAAUUAAAUGGUAGAACAAAAGUAACAACAUCACCUGCGAUGCAAUGCAUAUGACAAAUUGAAUUUAAGUUCCAUAAAUUAAUCAUGUGAGGGUCCGAGCUGCUCAUGACCGUGAGCACGGCUAGUAUACCAGUUUUACACUCUGCAGAGGUGGCGCAUCUUUACCCACAAGUCAUGUUACCCAUCUGCCAAGGGAUCGCGACUUCCCAUACACCUCUACCGAGGAGGCGAGGCAGGGUAACACUACGAGGCCUUUACAAAGUUCCACUAGCUUCAGAAAACCCGCUACAGUUUAUAGGAAGCUCCAAUGCAGGAAUUCCCUUGCAGGACCGCCAUCGCAGCAAAAUCCUCACGAGGGUCUCCCUACACUGACCACUCCCCUACUGCCCUUGCCCCUUUCGGGUAAGGUAGUCCUCCACUAGCUUUCCUAAUUAAUCAGCCAAGGGCGUCCCAUUAUACCCUUGUGGUAGCACUGUUUUCCCGGGUGGUCGCUCCAUGUUCCAAUUAACAUAAUGAUCUUAUCAUGAACGAUAAAUAACAACAGAUAACAAAAGUAUAAUCAUGAGUAAUGUAUCUUCAUACCCAAAACCACAUAAAGCACUAGCAAGUACUACCCAAAAAGUUCAGUGGUAACAAGGUAUAAAGAUAAUCAAACUAGGGUAACCUAUUGGGUCCCAUCAAAAUUAACCUAUGCAGAUCAUUAUGAUUAAUUAGAACAUGGCUGGGUAAAAAGAAGUGAUCAAGGGCACAACUUGCCUGGGACUUGAGAUUCCAGGUACCAACUUGCUCUUCAGAUGACACGUGUCCUCACUGCUAAACGUAGCAAUACAUACAAACAUGUAUAGGCAAAAUUAACAUCACACCAAGCAUAAGAAUAAACUAUGAAAUAAUAAUCUACACAUCGUUAUGAGAUCGGGGGAUCAAGAACCACUAAAUUCGGAGCUACGAUUGUUUAGAUAUGAAUUUCUGAAGUUAUUUAAUGCCUGACAUAGACUAAUUCAAGUGAACAAUUUUAAUUCAAUUUUCAUGGCUAAACAGUGUUACUAGUUGGUAGACAAUAUUAAUACAAAAUUAUAGAAACUGGAAUGAGUCAAUUCGGAGUUAGAAUGAAUUAAAUACGGAUUAAACAAGUUUAUGGACUUAUUUUUAUACUAAAAUUCAAUUUCCCUAAUUAUUUCUCUAUUUUUAUCUCCCUAUGGACUGAGCGUCGAAUUCCAGAAGGAUUAGGGACUAACUAGCAAUUGUUCCCCAGACUCAGAAUUCCCCACAGUGUGGACUGCGGGUUAGUUUCUAGGUUUCUCGAGGACUCUUUUACAAAAUAGAUCGGUCGAAGAGGUAUCUUCACAUCACAGCCGUUAGAUCCGUGCCCCACGGUCAAGAUUAAAUCUGGCACCAAAUGAACCGGUAUGCCCACCCAGCCGUGGGAUCAAGGAUAUACGGCGGACGCGUCGUCUUCUUCCUUACGACCCCAAGCUACCGCUCUUUCUCUCUCUUCCUGGCCGACGAUGAUAGCCCAUCCCACGGCGAUGAGUACACCAACGACCAGUGCCCAUGACGUUCGACCACGACGCCAUGCCCACCCGUGCACCAACCAAUCCGCGACCGCACGUAGAAGAAACGGAGAAUGACAGCUCAGUAGAAAGACACUCACCGACGAUGGGUCUGCGAUGAUGCCGGCCAUAGCUUGCCGCGACCCGACCAUGAACCUCGAAAUCAAGAGGAAAUUUGCCAAGGCUCCGGUGUUCUUCAACGCAUCGGUGAAUCCCCGAGCCCGGCAUGCACAGGCACUACGAUCCUAUCCCUCCCGAUUUCUUUUUCUCUCUCCCUGUAUGUACGACGGUGGUGUUCCUACGCACAGGAGUUGGGUAUGACUACGAUCACAAGCGACCAGAGAUUUAUAGAGGAGGGAGGCCAGGGGCACAAGCCGAGUCCGCGUGUAUGAGAAACACAGACGGGAUCAGAUCUUGCCGCGCGCAGAGUUCGGCGGAUUUCUGUUUCCGCCCGACGAAUUUUCAGGCGGCGGGCACAGCUAGCAACGUCCCAGGCGAGCCAAGAGCAGCGGAUUACGCGCGCGACCUUUCCCCGGAAAUCCCGGCGCGAGCUCUGCCCUAUUGGUCUCGGCGGCCGUGUGAUUCGCACCGCUGUUGUAUACAAGAGAAGAUGAUCCUGCCGGAGCUUGACGGGGAGGGACUUGGGUGGCGAGUGGGCCAGGGGCAUGGCCAGCCACCGGGGCGCCAUGGCUGGGCGCUGAGGCGCCAUUGGGGAAGCGGAGGGAGUAGGAAUGAGGGCGAGCUGAGCAGACUCGGCGGAAACCCCGCAGCCUACAGCGCAGAUCGAGGAAAUUUGGCUUGGGUUUGUUGCGAACCCAGCGGGUUGGUACGAACAGCCGAGACUGUUGCAGCGUGGAGAGGAAGACUCUGGAAAGUGGGCCCCACUAGGCAGUCAACAACGCGAGGUGAUUUCCUAGCCUACGGGUUUCGUCCAAGCACGACGCGCGUGCAAAGGCUGAGAAGCUGCCUUCGUCAAGCGGUAUCAGCGAAGGGGACGGAGGUGACUCCAUGGUCCCACGUUUCACUGAGACAAGGCAACGUUUGGCUGGUGGACUAUAUAAAAAAACAAACAAGGAGACGUGGGCUACAUGAAGGGUUAAAGGUGAUUGGCCGAUUGGAAGAUGGAUCUGAGCGCAUGUGGUUUUUUUAAUUCUUUUCUAAUUCAACCCAAAUUACAAAUUUAAAUCUUGUUUUGAGAUUUACACAAAAGUUAAGUGAAGCUACGAAUGAACCUUAGCAUGAUGCAAAUUUAAUUUAGUCUUAAUUAUUUAUUUAAAUAGAAAGAAAAUAAUUUCUACUAUGUAGUUUUUUUUAAGAAAUGAUUUGACUUACAUCCUUUAUAGGGUACUUAUAUAGUUCAAAAAAAUAACUUAAUUUAUAAGAGGAUCUCUUUAUGCCGCCUUAAAAACAUUUAAUAAAAAUAAAUUUUAAUUCAAAAUCUUUGGAGAAUUUUACUAAAAGUUUAUCAUAGAUUUUUCCAACGUUACAAAUUCUACCCCCUUAAAAAUAAUCUCGUCCUCGAGAUUAGUGAGAAAAAGGAUACAAAAUGAUUGGUCUGUAAUUCAGUUUUUUGUCUAUAAUUGGUUCAAAAAUCUAGAGUCUCACAAAAUAAAUAAUUACAUUAUAAGGAGACAACGGUCCAGCAACCCAAAGUUGACUGGGAGACGACGACCUAGACCUCUCACGAACUCAUCACAGCAUCCUCCAUGCGCCUCAUCCUGCGGUACCUGCUCUUGACCUGUGGGGGGUGUGAGACAGCAAGAGUGAGCUCACAUACGUUCAUCGCUCAACAAGUUGUGGGGAAUAAUGUGCAUGAACUCGCCAAAGAUGGGAGCUCACGUGAAGUGUAAGGCUUACCAAAGAGGAUGGUUAGAGCUGAGCAUUGCUUUUAAAGUUGGUCAAAAUUUUAUUAGCAAUUACUAAGUAUAAGUAAAUACCAACCCAAUUAAAUAGUAGAACAGAAGUAACAACAUCACCUGCGAUGCAAUGCAUAUGACAAAUUGAAUUUAAGUUCCAUAAAUUAAUCAUGUGAGGGUCCGAGCUGCUCAUGACCGUGAGCACGGCUAGUAUACCAGUUUUACACUCUGCAGAGGUUGCGCAUCUUUACCCACAAGUCAUGUUACCCAUCUGCCAAGGGAUCACAACUUCCCAUACACCUCUACCGAGGAGGCGAGGCAGGGUAACACUACGAGGCCUUUACAAAGUUCCACUAGCUUCAGAAAACCCGCUACAGUUUAUAGGAAGCUCCAAUGCAGGAAUUCCCUUGCAGGACCGCCAUCGCAGCAAAAUCCUCCCGAGGGCCUCCCUACACUGACCACUCCCCUACUGCCCUUGCCCCUUUCGGGUAAGGUAGUCCUCCACUAGCUUUCCUAAUUAAUCAGCCAAGGGCGUCCCAUUAUACCCUUGUGGUAGCACUGUUUUCCCGGGUGGUCGCUCCAUGUUCCAAUUAACAUAAUGAUCUUAUCAUGAUCAGUAAAUAACAACGGAUAACAAAAGUAUAAUCAUGAAUAAUGUAUCUUCAUACCCAAAACCACAUAAAAGCACUAGCAAGUACUACCCAAAAAGUUCAGUGGUAAACAAGGUAUAAAGAUAAUCAAACUAGGGUAACCUAUUGGGUCCCAUCAAAAUUAACCUAUAAAGAUCAUUAUGAUUAAUUAGAACAUGAGUGGGUAAAAAGAAGUGAUCAAGGGCACAACUUGCCUGACACUUGAGAUUCCAAUUACCAGGGUGAUUCUUCAGAUCCUCGAAACCUCGCGCUAGUCGUAGCAAUACAAACAUACAUGGUAUAGACAAAAUUAACAUCACACCAAACAUAAGAACACACUGCAUAAUAAUGAUCUACGCGUUGCUACGAGAUCGCGGGAACGAGAACCACUAAAAUCGGAGUUACGGUUAAGGAGUUAUGAUUUACGGGAGAUCUGCGUGAUUAAAAUAUUAAACUAUUUUAUAAAUUGGUUAAUAUAAUUCAUAUGAGAGGUUAUUCUAUAAAUAAUUAUCUCAACUUUAAUUUAAGUUAUAAAUUGACUAUAGAUCAUCUUCUAGUAGAUUAUAAUGAUAAGCAGAUUAACAAGAGUAAUCAACAUAGGUUAAAUAGAAAUCUAAUUAUAAAAGAGUGAGACAUGGUCUAAUCAAUAUUGUUACUGCGUAGUAAAUAUUUAUACGAGACUAACGCAACUUGAACGGAUCAAAUCGGAGUUAAAACGGAGGAGCUAUGAAUUUCCUAAGGUUUUAUGUAUUUGGUAUAAGAUUAAUUAGGAAAUAAAUUUUUAAAUUGGCUUUCAUGUCAAAACAGUGGAACUUUAUGAUGAAAAAUAAUAUUACAAAGUUAUUGGAACUGGAAUGGAUCAAUUUGAAGUUCAUAUGAAUUUUCUAGGGUUUAAACAAGUUUCUGCAAUUAUUUAUAUAUUAAAAAUCAAUUUCCCUAAUUAUUCCUUUAUUUUUAUUUCACUCUGGACUGCGCGCCCAAUAUUUGAAAAUGCAGGGGCUAAUCUAUAAAACUUCGGCAGACACAGACCUACCCCGCGGUGGACGGCGGGUUGAAUCUAUAUUAUUUCAGGGACUCUUACGCAAAACGCCCAGCCGAAGGGGUAUGGCUGCCUCAGGUUCGUUGGAUUAGAGCCCAACGGCUCAGAUUUAAUUAGGGGUUUUAAUAAUCACCAAGCGCUCAGGACCAGAGGAUCCACGAUCGACGGCUUGGAUCGCUUAGACGUCUAGAUCGCGAGCGAACGCAUCGGAACCGCUCAUUCACAGAUCGACGGUUACCAUCUCCUUUCUUCUCGAUCUAAACUCUAGGCAUUGGAUUGCCAUCCAACGGUUACCAACAUUCCCCGCUCCCAUCUAAUCGUGGCCGACCAACCCGAGAUCGACGGUCAACACAUCAUCGCCACCGAUGGGUCACACGCCGACGCACUCCAGGGAGGGAUGCGGUCACCGACGGCGGCACCAUGGCCGGGAGGUUCCCCAAGCCCCGAUUCCCGACCGAAUCCGAUCCAAACGCGGAAACAUAAAGCGAAUCACGUCCAGGCUUCGUCGAGGGUUACUCACAGUGAUUCAAAUCGCUACGAACUCCACACACGGCGCGCGAUGGAUCUUGUGCCCGGUGAUGAAAUUCUGGCCGCCCCAACGGUCAUUCCCUCCUUCUCCGGCCACGAGCGCCCCCCAAGCAACGUAUUGAAGCCCCCAGACCCCCUGUGGAACCCCGACUGCAAGCUGAGGCCGAGGGCGACGUUGGUGGUACUCUCUGCUCACAGUUCUCCCCUCGAUUUGGCGUUGGCUCUCGGUUCCAGCGAUGGCGGCGAACUGGAUUUUUUUUCCUCACUGCGUUAAUGGCGGAAGCGCAGGGUCUUCAUUUAUCUACUGGCGCCGCGUCUGUUACCGAGAACGCAGGGAAGAAGAUAGGCCCCGGCGAGUUCGGCGCGGGUGGUUGAGCGUGAGCCACAACGUCUUCCGCGCGGAGCAGGAGCACGGUUCGCCAUCCUGGGCCCACAUUCAGUGGGGCACGCAUGCGUUGGCCAGUCCGGGCGCAAGGUUGGC